rnacentral:rRNA from 1 species
CCUACGGGAGGCUGCAGUGGGGGAUAUUGCACAAUGGGGGGAACCCUGAUGCAGCGACGCCGCGUGGGUGAAGGAGCGUUUCGGCGCGUAAAGCCCUAUCGGCAGGGAAGAAGAUGACGGUACCUGACCAAGAAGCCCCGGCUAACUACGUGCCAGCAGCCGCGGUAAUACGUAGGGGGCAAGCGUUAUCCGGAUUUACUGGGUUUAAAGGGAGCGUAGGCCGGCUUUUAAGUCAGCUGUGAAAGUUCGCGGCUCAACCGGGGAAUUGCAGUUGAAACUGGAGGCCUUGAGUGCACACAGGGAUGCCGGAAUUCAUGGUGUAGCGGUGAAAUGCUUAGAUAUCAUGAAGAACUCCGAUCGCGAAGGCAAGUGUCCGGGGUGCAACUGACGCUGAGGCUCGAAAGUGCGGGUAGCAAACAGGAUUAGAUACCCUUGUAGUC